rnacentral:tRNA from 1 species
GGGCGGGUAGCUCAGUGGGAGAGCACCUGCCUUACAAGCAGGGGGUCGGCAGUUCAAAUCUGCCACUGCCCACCA